ACUCAAUCGACACAAUAGUGGUCUUGAACCUCCUAGAAAUAGCUUAGAGGUUCCUCCUAUGAAUACUUAUCAUAAUUUUCAACUGGUUCAUGAAGACAUUCAAUGCUCAAGUUACUAUAAAGAGGACAUUUGCCAACAAUCUCACACCAAAAAAUUGAUUGCUGUUGAAAGGCUCCACAGAACAAAGGAUCAGCAUAAUAGACCUAGUGUUGUGGCUCGAUUAAUGGGAAUGGAGUCACUGCCUUCAGACACCAAGCCUA